AGACCCGAAACCCGGUGAUCUAGCCAUGGGCAGGUUGAAGGUUGGGUAACACUAACUGGAGGACCGAACCGACUAAUGUUGAAAAAUUAGCGGAUGACCUGUGGCUGGGGGUGAAAGGCCAAUCAAACCGGGAGAUAGCUGGUUCUCCCCGAAAGCUAUUUAGGUAGCGCCUCGUGAAUUCAUCUCCGGGGGUAGAGCACUGUUUCGGCUAGGGGGCCAUCCCGGCUUACCAACCCGAUGCAAACUGCGAAUACCGGAGAAUGUUAUCACGGGAGACACACGGCGGGUGCUAACGUCCGUCGUGAAGAGGGAAACAACCCAGACCGCCAGCUAAGGUCCCAAAGUCAUGGUUAAGUGGGAAACGAUGUGGGAAGGCCCAGACAGCCAGGAUGUUGGCUUAGAAGCAGCCAUCAUUUAAAGAAAGCGUAAUAGCUCACUGGUCGAGUCGGCCUGCGCGGAAGAUGUAACGGGGCUAAACCAUGCACCGAAGCUGCGGCAGCGACACUGUGUGUUGUUGGGUAGGGGAGCGUUCUGUAAGCCUGUGAAGGUGUGUCGUGAGGCAUGCUGGAGGUAUCAGAAGUGCGAAUGCUGACAUAAGUAACGAUAAAGCGGGUGAAAAGCCCGCUCGCCGGAAGACCAAGGGUUCCUGUCCAACGUUAAUCGGGGCAGGGUGAGUCGACCCCUAAGGCGAGGCCGAAAGGCGUAGUCGAUGGGAAACGGGUUAAUAUUCCCGUACUUGGUGUUACUGCGAAGGGGGGACGGAGAAGGCUAUGUUGGCCGGGCGACGGUUGUCCCGGUUUAAGCGUGUAGGUGUGUGUUCCAGGUAAAUCCGGUUCACUUUAACACUGAGGCGUGACGACGAGGCACUACGGUGCUGAAGCAACAAAUGCCCUGCUUCCAGGAAAAGCCUCUAAGCAUCAGGUAACAUCAAAUCGUACCCCAAACCGACACAGGUGGUCAGGUAGAGAAUACCAAGGCGCUUGAGAGAACUCGGGUGAAGGAACUAGGCAAAAUGGUGCCGUAACUUCGGGAGAAGGCACGCUGACACGUAGGUGAAGUGAUUUACUCAUGGAGCUGAAGUCAGUCGAAGAUACCAGCUGGCUGCAACUGUUUAUUAAAAACACAGCACUGUGCAAACACGAAAGUGGACGUAUACGGUGUGACGCCUGCCCGGUGCCGGAAGGUUAAUUGAUGGGGUCAGCGCAAGCGAAGCUCCUGAUCGAAGCCCCGGUAAACGGCGGCCGUAACUAUAACGGUCCUAAGGUAGCGAAAUUCCUUGUCGGGUAAGUUCCGACCUGCACGAAUGGCGUAAUGAUGGCCAGGCUGUCUCCACCCGAGACUCAGUGAAAUUGAACUCGCUGUGAAGAUGCAGUGUACCCGCGGCAAGACGGAAAGACCCCGUGAACCUUUACUAUAGCUUGACACUGAACAUUGAGCCUUGAUGUGUAGGAUAGGUGGGAGGCUUUGAAGUGUGGACGCCAGUCUGCAUGGAGCCGACCUUGAAAUACCACCCUUUAAUGUUUGAUGUUCUAACGUGGACCCGUUACCCGGGUUGCGGACAGUGUCUGGUGGGUAGUUUGACUGGGGCGGUCUCCUCCUAAAGAGUAACGGAGGAGCACGAAGGUUGGCUAAUCCUGGUCGGACAUCAGGAGGUUAGUGCAAUGGCAUAAGCCAGCUUGACUGCGAGCGUGACGGCGCGAGCAGGUGCGAAAGCAGGUCAUAGUGAUCCGGUGGUUCUGAAUGGAAGGGCCAUCGCUCAACGGAUAAAAGGUACUCCGGGGAUAACAGGCUGAUACCGCCCAAGAGUUCAUAUCGACGGCGGUGUUUGGCACCUCGAUGUCGGCUCAUCACAUCCUGGGGCUGAAGUAGGUCCCAAGGGUAUGGCUGUUCGCCAUUUAAAGUGGUACGCGAGCUGGGUUUAGAACGUCGUG
rnacentral:rRNA from 2 species